CCGGCCUUAGCUCAGUUGGUAGAGCGGAGGACUGUAGUGUUCACUCAGACAGCUUCAGGUCGCUGGUUCGAUUCCGGCAGAUCGGA
rnacentral:tRNA from 1 species